AUUUAGUUUGCUGACCCCUCGAUGUUUCUCCAAGCGCUGUCCUUCUCACCCCAGCUAAGGUCAACGUGACUUCUAGGGUUCAGUACAACACUAUGUGGCGUGUUAUCCCACUCGUUGUUCUUAGUGCAACAUGGAUGUCUGUUCCGGCAUUUGCAGCCACAUGUCCUCCAACACCAAACCUCUCGAACGGAUAUUAUACUACCAGUAUUAAAAGUUUUACAAAUGGUGGCACAGCUACUGCUAAUUGUUUUCCAGGAUACCAGAGAAAUAGAUCAUAUGUGAUUACGUGUGGUAGUAAUGGCACUUGGCCUAGUGGUGCUUCUCUUCCAACUU